rnacentral:rRNA from 1 species
AGUGAACGCUGGCGGUAGGCCUAACACAUGCAAGUCGAACGGCAGCACAGUAAGAGCUUGCUCUUACGGGUGGCGAGUGGCGGACGGGUGAGGAAUACAUCGGAAUCUACUUUUUCGUGGGGGAUAACGUAGGGAAACUUAUGCUAAUACCGCAUACGACCUACGGGUGAAAGCAGGGGAUCUUCGGACCUUGCGCUAUUGAAUGAGCCGAUGUCGGAUUAGCUAGUUGGCGGGGUAAAGGCCCACCAAGGCGACGAUCCGUAGCUGGUCUGAGAGGAUGAUCAGCCACACUGGAACUGAGACACGGUCCAGACUCCUACGGGAGGCAGCAGUGGGGAAUAUUGGACAAUGGGCGCAAGCCUGAUCCAGCCAUACCGCGUGGGUGAAGAAGGCCUUCGGGUUGUAAAGCCCUUUUGUUGGGAAAGAAAAGCAGCAGGUUAAUACCCCGCUGUUCUGACGGUACCCAAAGAAUAAGCACCGGCUAACUUCGUG